UACAGAGGUCUCAAGCGUUGUUCGGAUUCAUUGGGCGUAAAGGGUGCGUAGGUGGCAUGGUAAGUCGGAUGUGAAAUCCCGGGGCUCAACCCCGGAACUGCAUUCGAUACUGCUGCGCUAGAGUACUGGAGAGGAGAUUGGAAUUUACGGUGUAGCAGUGAAAUGCGUAGAUAUCGUAAGGAAGACCAGUGGCGAAGGCGGAUCUCUGGACAGUUACUGACACUGGAGGCACGAAGGCCAGGGGAGCAAACAGG
rnacentral:rRNA from 1 species